rnacentral:rRNA from 1 species
AGUGAACGCUGGCGGCGUGCCUAAUACAUGCAAGUCGAACGGAGUGGCGCACGGGUGAGUAAUAUAUAGCUAAUCUGCCCCUUGCUGGAGGACAACAGUGAGAAAUGAAUGCUAUUACGCCAUAGCAAGGGAUGAGACUAUAUCGUAUCAGCUAGUCGGUGGGGUAACGGCCUACCGAGGCGAUGACGCGUAACUGGUCUGAGAGGAUGAGCAGUCAAAUUCGAACUGAGGCACGGGCCAAACUCCUACGAGAGGGAGCAGUAGGGUAUAUUGCUCAAUGGGGGAAACCCUGCCGGAGCAACGCCGCGUGUAGGAUGACACGUUUCGAGGCGUAAACUCCUUUUGUUAAGGAAGCGGUACCUAACGAAUAAGCACCGGCUAACUCCGUGCCAGCAGCCGCGGUAAUUC